rnacentral:rRNA from 1 species
CAGCAGCCGCGGGAAUACGUAGGGUGCGAGCGUUAAUCGGAAUUACUGGGCGUAAAGCGUGCGCAGGCGGUUGUGUAAGACAGGUGUGAAAUCCCCGGGCUUAACCUGGGAACUGCGCUUGUGACUGCACAGCUAGAGUAUGGCAGAGGGGGGUGGAAUUCCACGUGUAGCAGUGAAAUGCGUAGAGAUGUGGAGGAACACCGAUGGCGGAGGCAGCCCCCUGGGCCAAGACUGACGCUCAUGCACGAAAGCGUGGGGAGCAAACAGGAUUAGAUCCCAGUAGUCCCUGUCUCUUAUACAC